rnacentral:piRNA from 1 species
UGUUUUGUGGUGAAAAGCUCAGGUAGGGCC